rnacentral:lncRNA from 1 species
AUUUUUGUAUUUUUAGUAGAGACGGGGUUUCACCGUGGUCUCGAUCUCCUGACCUUGUGAUCCGCCCGCCUCGGCCUCCCAAAGUGCUGGGAUUACAGGCGUGAGCCACCGCGCCCGGCCUUUGUCACAUUUUUAUGUCCAUUCACUUGUUUGUGACAUUUUGCCAAUUACCCCAGGAGUUGGCAACUGACUUCAUCUCACACAGAAAAGUUAAUUUGCCAUAAAAAACAAUUUGUCUCGAAAACUCAGUUUAUUUUAAAAUUAAGUUGAUCCUUCUUAAUUAUGGUCUUUCAAAGGAACUUCUGAACUUGACAUUUGAUGGGAGGCUGCAGACAGCAAACCAGGACUAACAACCUUUAGAAACUAACAACAUGACAGAAACAGCCCAAGGAGGUAAUUGAGAAAGGAAGGAUAUCAUAGGUCCCCACGGUUUCAUGAACCAAAGUGUUAUGAGAAUUUGCUGGCAGUCGUCUAGGAAAACUCUUCAACAGAGAUUUGAUUCAAGUCUUUAAUUCACUGUAAACAACCAGCUACAAUGUUCCUUUUAUUUUCCUAGGCUACAGACUGAACACCCAAGAGCUCUGAGUGCAUGGCAGUGACCCUUCUCUUCCCCUUUUGCACCUGGAAAAGAAUUGGGUCAAAACAGCACGCUACUGAGGAUUUUUCUGAGAUAGGGUUUCAGGUACUUUUUAUCCAUUUAGGAUUUUAGGUGAUAUGCAUGCAUCUAACUUUUGGGGAUGAUGGAAGCCUAGAAUGAUCUCUGGCCACAUGGCCCCUUCUCCCACUCCAUGGAACAAGACAUCUGGUAUCACAGGAGAGAAUGGGGCAAAGACCAGAGGGAAGCCGAGCUUUAAGUCCCUCAGAUCAUCCACUUCCUGGGCAUCCCAGUUACAAAAACCAGUAACUUCACACUUUUUCCUUAAACUGUUUUGAAAUGAGGUUCAGUUUCUUGCAAAUGAAAGUCUUUACAAAUAAAUUUGCUGUGGCCAGAAUGGUGUGUGAAUAUGGGGAGCAGUUUGCAGGGGUCAAAGGGCCCUUGUGGCUACACCAGGGGUCAGGUGAAUUGGGCUCCAGAUAACAGAUUUCACCAUGUGUUGAUGAAGCUUUACAGCUCACAGGCAAGGCUGGUCGGCUCUUUCCUGAGUGCUUGGUUACUGUAACAGUGAGACCACUCCAGAGGCAGAGGAAUAGUAAGUGCUGACUCAUCUGAACAGGGGGUUCAUCUUUCCCUGUCCAGUGUGUUGCCAACUCUGAAAUCUCUUUAAGAUGAAACAAGAGGCUUUAGGAUGCAGAUAAUGGCACGCCAAUUGCAACGCACAGCAGUAGUGAGCCAAGAAGGUAAGUUCCUGAAGCCGAUUGUUGUAGGAAACCUUAAGCCAUAUGGUGGGAGUGGU